UAUUAAAGUUGUUGCGGUUAAAAAGCUCGUAGUUGAAUCUGUGUGCCACGCUGUCGGUUCACCGCUCGCGGUGUUUAACUGAUAUGCCUGUGGUACGUCCUACCGGUGGACUUAGCCCUCCCUUUCGGGGUGCGGGGCGGUCCUGUUUCAAUCCCGUCGCGGUGCUCUUUACCGAGUGUCGAGGUGGGCCGGUACGUUUACUUUGAACAAAUUAGAGUGCUUAAAGCAGGCUACUUUCGCCUGAAUAUUGUGUGCAUGGAAUAAUGGAAUAGGACCUCGGUUCUAUUUUGUUGGUUUUCGGAACACCGAGGUAAUGAUUAAUAGGGACAGAUGGGGGCAUUCGUAUUGCGACGUUAGAGGUGAAAUUCUUGGAUCGUCGCAAGACGGACAGAAGCGAAAGCAUUUGCCAAAAAUGUUUUCAUUAAUCAAGAACGAAAGUUAGAGGUUCGAAGGCGAUCAGAUACCGCCCUAGUUCUAACCAUAAACGAUGCCAGCUAGCGAUCCGCCGAAGUUCCUCCGAUGACUCGGCGGGCAGCUUCCGGGAAACCAAAGCUUUUGGGUUCCGGGGGAAGUAUGGUUGCAAAGCUGAAACUUAAAGGAAUUGACGGAAGGGCACCACCAGGAGUGGAGCCUGCGGCUUAAUUUGACUCAACACGGGAAAUCUCACCAGGCCCGGACACCGGAAGGAUUGACAGAUUGAUAGCUCUUUCUUGAUUCGGUGGGUGGUGGUGCAUGGCCG
rnacentral:rRNA from 1 species